rnacentral:misc_RNA from 1 species
AGUCGUCUUAACAUCGUCAUGUAAAUACGUGUCAUCAAAGAUUACUCAAAAAUUGCUCAUUAUGUCUCAAUCAUAUUUAAAACUGACGACAUGACAAGUAUUAGCUUUUGAUUUAUACAAAAAAGAUCAAAAUCAGUGCACCCAGUAAAAAGAUAUAACGUAUAAUACAACGUAGGGUGACGAAAAAACCGUCAAGUAAAUACGCAAUAUUAGAUAUAGCUCACAAAUUACUAAUCAAAUCUCAAUUAAAUUUGAAUGGGACCACGUGACGAAUAGUAGCUUUUAAUUUAUAUAAGAAACGUCAAAAUCGGUGCACCCAGUAAAAAGUUAUGAGGUAUAAUACAACGUAAGGUGACGAAAAUAAUGUCAAGUAAAUACGCGUUAUCAAAGAUUAAUCAAAAAGUAGUUAUCAGAUCUCGAUAAAAUUUAUAUGUGACCACAUGAUAAACAUCAGCUUUCGAUUAAAGUAAAAAUUAUCAAAAUCGAUACACCUAGUAAAAAGUUAUUGCGGAUUUUCAAGAGUUUCCCUCGAUUUCUCUAGGAUCCCAUCGUCAGAUCCUAGUUUCCUUAUCAUGGUACCAAACUAGGGAUAUCCCCUUUCCAACAAAAAAAGAAUUAUCAAAAUCGGUACACCCAGUAGACAGUUAUGUGGUAUAAUACAACGUAGGUCGACGAAAAAAGCGUCAAGUAAAAACGCAUUAUUAGAUAUAACUCGAAAAGUAGUUGUUAG